rnacentral:rRNA from 1 species
UACGUAGGGUGCGAGCGUUAAUCGGAAUUACUGGGCGUAAAGCGUGCGCAGGCGGUCUGUUAAGACCGAUGUGAAAUCCCCGGGCUUAACCUGGGAACUGCAUUGGUGACUGGCAGGCUUUGAGUGUGGCAGAGGGAGGUAGAAUUCCACGUGUAGCAGUGAAAUGCGUAGAGAUGUGGAGGAAUACCGAUGGCGAAGGCAGCCUCCUGGGCCAACACUGACACUGAGGAGCGAAAGCCAGGGGAGCAAACGGG